UACGUAGGGGGCAAGCGUUGUCCGGAAUCAUUGGGCGUAAAGAGCGCGUAGGCGGCCCGGUAAGUCCGCUGUGAAAGUCGGGGGCUCAACCCUCGAAUGCCAGUGGAUACUGUCGGGCUAGAGUGCGGAAGAGGCGAGUGGAAUUCCUGGUGUAGCGGUGAAAUGCGCAGAUAUCAGGAGGAACACCAAUUGCGAAGGCAGCUCGCUGGGACGUAACUGACGCUGAGACGCGAAAGCGUGGGGAGCAAACAGG
rnacentral:rRNA from 1 species